rnacentral:misc_RNA from 1 species
AUCAUAGAAUUCAAUAGAUCUCAAGGAGAAUUCAUUAGAACGGUAGCGCUCGUUUUCUCUGCCUUGUCGGUCCGAUCGAUUAGGAGAGGCCACUAUCCGGAUCAUGAGAACGAGCUCUGCAGUUUCAUUGCCGCUGCAGCCUCAGAGAAAAAGAGGGUGACAACAAGGAAUACGCUGAUGCUCCUCCCCUUCCUCGCUGAUCUACUGUCGUUAGCCCCAUCCGUCCUCUUGCGCUGCUGUCGAAAUCCAAAGAAGAGAGCAUUUCUUGAUUGAUUCAAGUUAGCUGUCCAAUUUCAGAGAACUCGUUCAUCCUGAGGAUCUUGUUAUGGGCAUCAGUAAAACAGAAGUAAACUUAAGGAGGUUGCUUGCAGCUGCACCUCAGCAACAAAAUAAAGCAAAACUUAUACAUUAUGUCGCUACUUUACGGGAACAAUUGGAACAAUUGGCUGAAGAAAGAAAUCCAGAUGGCUUACCUAGAGUUUCAAAGGCUAAGGUGAAUGAUUAUUCUGAGAAGAUUGAAGCCAUUGCUACCAGAAUAGCUGCACCAUUGGUGUGUUCUAUAACCUAGAAAUUAAAUAUGUUGUAUAUUGUUAAAAUAAUUGGUGUCAUUGUGAAAUUCAGUGAUUUUUCUAAAGUAGUUACGCUAGCUAUAGAUUGAAUUUAUGGAAGUGGAUUUAUAUUAUUUUUACAAAGUUCAAAGAGUAAGUUAUCUUAUUUUAAUUUUUUUCCUUCAAGUACUAAAAAACUAAUGAAAUAUUAUAGCCAUUGCAAUGUGGUUAUCUAGGAAAGUGUAGUUUUUAAUAAUUGUGGUGGACAGUAGAGGAGUUGUGAAAUUAUAUUUGGGUAUUGAAGGAAACAUGGGGCAUCUUGGCUGAUCUCACUUUUGUUGAAGAGAUUUUACACAGGAUCGGAUAUUAUUGUUUGUUGAAAACUUGUCUUUGAGUAAACUUCCUUUUCUCCCCGCUAUGAUGCCCAUCUUGUUGCAUCUGUUGACUUGGUAGAUUGCAACAAAUUAAUUGGCUUAGUUUCUCUCGCUACAUGUCAUCCUUCAUCCAGUUACUUACACCUUUGUUCCAGUGAAAGUGUAGUGGUUGUUCUUAUUGGUUCAGAUAUGGGAUUUGUUUCAUCUAUUAAUGCGUGCUUUUCAAAGUUGAGUUUUUUUAAGUGCUGCAUUGACUGUAAUACAGAUGUAAACAAGUAUGUGAAUUUUAUAAUUUUAAGUUUAAUGUGAAUAGUUUUUCUUAUAAGCUUUGAUUGGAAGUCAUAUGCACAAAUGCCAAUUUCAACUCUACAGUUUUCAUGACCAUAAUGGGCCUUGAAUGGAAAAGUUGCUUUCCAGCAAUCUAGUGCUGAGAAAUUUUGGUAGGACUUGAAGGCUAUUGAGUUUCUCUUUAAUAUGGUCUCAUUCUUUCUAUCUUCAACUUUUCAUGGGAAAAGGUUCCAUUGCAGAUUAUUGGUCAUUGUUGAAACUCAAUCUAACACCUGUGGACAGCUGAAUUGUCCUCAAUGUUCCUGCCUUCUAAUCCAGUAAAUUUCAUUGAGUUCUAAAUUUUUUGUAUUCUGUUUUUUUUUUUUUGGGUCAAUUUGAGGAGAAUCUAACUUGCGUGUAACUGCCUCAUGUGUAUUCCCUUAUGUUUUUUAAAGAACAAUCACUUGUCAAAUUAAUUGGCAUUUUUUUGGGCAUGUCUCUUAGGUGUUGUGAGGGCCUUGUCUUAUGACAAUAUACUGGUGCAAGCACACACAUGCAAUCAUUCAUUUACAUCUGUACAUUCAUCUUGUAAUGUCGCCUCCAUUUGUUUCAUAGCAAAUUAUACGUGUAUUUUGUGGUAAAUGUUAUAAUUGCUAAUUGUCUUUUAUAUGUCUAAUUCUCAGCCUCAUGUUUUGGUAUCUGAAAAGUCUGAUGCUGGGAGUUCUGCAAAAGAAAGUCCUAAAGCAGAUGGAGAAACUCACUUCCCUUCUUCUCCAGGCUUGAGAAGAAGAUUUGUGUAAAUGAAUCUGUAGUUAGAACUUGUGUGAUAUAUGGAAUCUCCCAAUUUGUGGUUUUAUCUUCUCCUUUCUCCCCCUCUUCCAGGUUAUAAUUUGUUUCCUUUUGAAUCAUGUCGCAUAUCAAACAGGUCAUCGUCAAAUAUUGAUGACAGAACUCAUGACCUAAAUCAGGUUCAUACAUCAGCGCCUGUCAAACUGGAUACUGCAGCAAAAGCACACAUUGAGAAGCACAGAAAGCUUCAGGAGGAUUUGACUGAUGAAAUGGUCGGGUUGGCACAGCAACUCAAAGAAAGUAGUCUCAUGAUGAGUCAGUCCCUGCAAAAUACUGAAAAGGUGAUGAUUUUUAUUAUCCUAUGAUGCAUAGUUUCAUGAAUUAACGUUGACAAUUCAUGGGAAAUGCAUUACUGUCUGAGGACAAUGUUCAAUUUUAGUAUUGAUGGGUACAUCUUAUAUUUUCUGGAGGAAGCGUUGCGCAAUUUGGUGCUCCAUUAUUCUUUCAGUUUUGCUCAUGAUUAAUUUUGGUAUGAAAUGUGACUCAAAACAGACAAAAGCUCAAUUUGCCCCUAAACUUUUGUGCAAUGUCCAAUUUGACCCAAGAAUGGUGGAUUUUUUUUUUUUUGAGAGAAACUGGUUUUAUUAUUUCAAUAUUAUACCCUUCCACGUCUUUUUCGCAUUAUGCACUUCCUUCUCCAAUUAGGGAGCAUGAAAAAAAUUUGGCCUGGGUGGAAAUACAUUCCAACUAUAAAGAAAAGAGAAACUCGUUUUCUAUUUUCAUGUUUGCUUCCUAUUGUCCAUCAACUCAUUUUUCUGCCUUCCUUAUAAGGAUGUUUGUAUUCAUUGUAUUUGUUAUUAGUUUGCUUAAACAGAAUCUGAAAGGCAUUCUACAUUGGCUCUGCCUACCUCUUAGGCUGUCCUACAGUCCUACUGCUCAAGUUGUCAUUAUUUGUUGCAUCUCUGCAUCUAUGGCUGUGUAAACCAUGCAUCACCGUCACUACUACAAGUUGUUAAACUGCUGCUGACAAUUACAAAUUUUGGCUUGUGAAAAGUAGUGGUUAAAUUGUACAGUUAUCAUCUGGCCCAUUCUCCUCGUCCCCUUCCCCCCCUCUGUCUCUCUGUGCGAUGUGUUCUCACACACACUCCCUCAUCUCAGCACUCUCAGAAUAAAUAUCUAGCAUCUCAACUAUCCUGAGCUCUUAGCAGAGCAAUCAACAUUGUUGUGCAAGAUGUGCUAUAUGUUUCCUGCUUGAAUUAAUUACACUGCGAGUCCUGUUGGGUUUCUCCUGACUUUUGCUUGUCAUGUGUUGAGUGAUUUCAGUCAUGGACCCUGAUUGUUUGUUUGUGUGCAGAUACUUGAUUCAACAGAGAAGGCUGUUGAGCAGAGCUUGGCUAGCACUGGUCGUGCCAAUGUACGAGCCUUGGAGUUAUACUCAAAAACUUCCAAGACCACAUGCUUCACAUGGCUUGUGAUUUUUCUAAUGACAUGUGUUUUCAUCAUGGUUGUACUCCUAAUUCGUGUCACUUGAGCUGAUCUUCAGUUCUUGGGAUAAGCAAUCUAUUCCCAAGUAGUAGACAUGGUAAUGCUGCUAUCUUUCAAUAUGAUUGUCGCAUUUAACCAUGUCAUAAUGCCUUGUAAAUUUCUGUAGCUCAAGUAGCGAACCGACAAUUUUGCUAACAUGCACCCGAAAAAUAGUAAUGACAAGUAUAUUUGUUGGAUACUGUUUUCUUAAAUCGUGCAACUGUUGAAAUUGGUUCCCAAUUUAUACUGUAAUGAAUGGACAACUAACUCAAUUUAGUUCAACUCAAC